AUAGAGUAUAGAGGUUGCAUCUUUUAUUAACCCCAUUGAGUUUCGUGGAACAUUGACGUGGGACUAGGAAAAGAUGCCGAAAAAUUUAGUAUCCACUUGUACUAGGUUUUGGGUCGUAUGUAAAUAGCAUUCGAACUGUCUUUGUUAUAGUUUUCUAUAAUAAAGUUGAGCUUUACUUAAA
rnacentral:ncRNA from 2 species